AGAUUGAACGCUGGCGGCAGGCCUAACACAUGCAAGUCGAGCGGUAGAGAGGUGCUUGCAUCUCUUGAGAGCGGCGGACGGGUGAGUAAUGCCUAGGAAUCUGCCUAGUGGUGGGGGAUAACGUUCGGAAACGGACGCUAAUACCGCAUACGUCCUACGGGAGAAAGCGGGGGACCUUCGGGCCUCGCGCCAUUAGAUGAGCCUAGGUCGGAUUAGCUAGUUGGUGAGGUAAUGGCUCACCAAGGCGACGAUCCGUAACUGGUCUGAGAGGAUGAUCAGUCACACUGGAACUGAGACACGGUCAGACUCCUACGGAGGCAGCAGUGGGGAAUAGUAGACAAGUGGGACGAAAGCCUGAUCCGAGCCAUGCCGCGUGUGUAGAAGAAGUAUCUACGGUAUAGAAG
rnacentral:rRNA from 1 species